rfam:Picea glauca, whole genome shotgun sequence.
UCUUAUGUACAUGCCUAAAAUGUUAACGCACCAAAUCCCAUCAAAACUCCACAGUUAAGAAUGCUUGGGAUAGAGUAGUACUAGGAUGGGUGGUCUCCAAGGAAUGUUGGAUAUGUGUUAUAA